rnacentral:rRNA from 1 species
CAGUCGCCGCGGUAAUACGAAGGGUGCAAGCGUUACUCGGAAUUACUGGGCGUAAAGCGUGCGUAGGUGGUGGUUUAAGUCCGUUGUGAAAGCCCUGGGCUCAACCUGGGAAUUGCAGUGGAUACUGGGUCACUAGAGUGUGGUAGAGGAUAGUGGAAUUUCCGGUGUAGCAGUGAAAUGCGUAGAGAUCGGAAGGAACAUCUGUGGCGAAGGCGACUAUCUGGGCCAACACUGACACUGAGGCACGAAAGCGUGGGGAGCAAACAGGAUUAGAGACCCGCGUAGUCCCUGUCUCUUAUAU